rnacentral:tRNA from 1 species
AGUAAGAAAAGUUUUAUGAAUAUUAAAUUGCAAAUUUAAAGGUAAAGCUUACUA